rnacentral:tRNA from 1 species
AAAACAGAAGUAUUCACUUUCGGUUUCGGCCUGAAAUUAGGCUUAUAGCCCUGUUUUA